ACUUGCUGUGAUGAUGCAACUUUUAAGCUUACAAUGUCAGUUCUGUAUCUGAGAAUUCAUGACAGAGAAAGCUGAAAGACGUCUGAGCCUUGU